GACAGAGGGUGCAAACGUUGUUCGGAAUUACUGGGCGCAAAGCGCGUGUAGGCGGCUGCGUGUGUCGGGCGUGAAAUCCCAUGGCUCAACCAUGGAAGUGCACCCGAAACUGCGUAGCUAGAGUCCUGGAGAGGAAGGUGGAAUGCUUGGUGUAGAGGUGAAAUUCGUAGAGAUGUGGAGGAACACCAGUGGCGAAGGCGACUCUUUGGUCUGUAACUGACGCUGAGGCGCGAAAGCGUGGGGAGCAAACAGG
rnacentral:rRNA from 1 species